GGGGGGAGCAAGCGUUGUUCGGAUUUACUGGGCGUAAAGGGCGCGUAGGCGGCCACCGCAAGUCAGUUGUGAAAUCUCUGGGCUUAACCCAGGAAGGUCAACUGAUACUGCGGGGCUAGAGUGCAGAAGGGGCAACUGGAAUUCUCGGUGUAGCGGUGAAAUGCGUAGAUAUCGAGAGGAACACCUGCGGCGAAGGCGGGUUGCUGGGCUGACACUGACGCUGAGGCGCGAAAGCUAGGGGAGCGAACGGGAUUAGAUACCCCGGUAGUCCUAGCCUUAAACGAUGAAUGCUUGGUGUCUGGGGUUAUAUAGUCCCCGGGUGCCGUCGCUAACGCUUUAAGCAUUCCGCCUGGGGAGUACGGUCGCAAAAGGG
rnacentral:rRNA from 1 species